GCGCGCAUUGGGCGCCACGGUCCUGCGCGGCCGGUCUUGCCUGUCCUCCCGCUCCAGCUGCUCGCGCUGUGCACCCGUCCACGCAGCGCCUGGGGUCCUCGACGCAGAUGCCAAGUGGGGACCGCUGGACUAGGUGGACAAGGAGAGAGCUGGAGGCAGAGCACCAAGUACCCUCAGCCUGUCACCCACAGGGGCCCCAGUGCCACCUGCAAGACUCAGCUCGUGCGUGGCUGGCGUCCGGCCGCCCCCCGCCCUUCCACCUGCCCCACCCCCAUCCCUUCUCUUCUGUGUCAUUGCAAGGCAUCUGCAGGCCCAAGUGCAGAGUUGAUCUUUUUGGCAAAGAUGGCCAGUAACCUAGGCAACUAUUAUCCUGCACCCUGUGGAUCAGAUGUGUAUCUCCAGCCACGCUGGUGGGAAACUAAGACUGUAUUAUCCAGGGAUGUUUAGGCCUGCAUUCCUCGAUGGGAAUGCAGGCCUAGGAGAGCCGGAGGUUCGUCUGCAGUUCCCUGGAUUAAAUCCUACGUGCCUGGAAAUGUACCUGGACACAGCCCUGGGGCUGCUGACUGCCAUCCCGUCAUGCCGUGUACACAACUGGACACAGUGACACCAGCUCAUCCCUCCUGCCAUCCCAGGACAGACCUUCUUCUUUCUGAGAGCUUUUAGGAAUCUGGUACAUAAUACGCUGGACAGGAGACGUACCUAUUCCUGCAAAAGUGGAGACUCAACCACUGCCUCCCUUCACGUUCAUCAGAAACAAAGGAACACAAUUUGAGUUAAGGAUGAACUUCAGGUUUAGAAGUGUGUGCUUUCCUUUCGACAUGGAGCUAGAUGAAUUCAUUAUCCCUGGUGCCUUCUACUCCACAAUGGGGUAUUUCAUCUCCAUCCACUUCCUGCCGGGGAACGAAUAUGCCAUCGCCUUCUACAAGGGCAUGACGGCCUAUGUGUUCUACGAGAUGAUGGAGCUCAUAGGGACACCAUCCCAGGUUGGAUGAGUAUCUUUGUGGAGCAGGGGACAAUCUCUGAUGGGCCAGGCUGAGACACAAGGUCCUCCCCAGGAGGGGUUGGAGGGCUGUUUCUGGUGGAGGUUUUUCACGGAUAUGUGAAUCCUUCUCAGUUUGCUUUUCCAGGUGUUACACUCAUGGCUGUCCUUUGGGGAUGGCAGAGGGAGGAGUACAGGUCAGGGUGUCCCUAAGUCCAGGAUUUGCCUGUGUAGAAAACUGUACAUCUGUCCUCCACUCUCCAGGAUCAGAGUGGGUGGGAACUACUUCCUGUGGAGCCUUCAAAGAAGACAGCCACCUGGGGGGCUGUUGCCUUCAUGAGAAUUCACUCCAGGCCCAUGACUCAUGCCCCGAACAAAAGACAAACACAAUUCCUGCUUGAAGGCUCCCAGCUGUCUGGCUCCUUCUCAGGUUUGGGUUGGGAAGGCUCACAUCUUAGAUGUUCCUGGGACAGCAGGCUUGAAUCCUCUCAGUUCCCUGGAGGCCCAGGUGGAAAUGGCAGUGUCUGGCCAAGUGGGAGGACAACCCUCUGGAACCCUCCAACCCUAAGUGGCUUGGGGACUCUGCCUCAAAACCAUCACUGAAAACCAACUGGCCUCCAGGCCGCACCUUGAAUGAAAACCCAGAUGCACUGAGGACCUUUGAGGAGUAUGUGGAGUGGAAAGGGAGGAACAAAAGCGAGAUCAUCAACCCUCCUGAUACUGAGUCCUGUGAAUACCACAGAGAGGUGUAAGGAGAGAAAGCUGCAGAGACUUCCCAGGAAGGAGGAUUUGUGGACCUUGCUGCUCUCCUCCACCUGAAGCAAAACUCUCCCUGCAAGAGCCCAGAACCCACACCUUCUCAAGCCUCUGCCAUCAAUAAAGCUGAGUGAUGUCCCUUGGGCAUGUGCAUGACGUGGGAUUGAAUAUGCCUGGGCUUUGUCUUACCCAGGCAUGAAAAGUAGCUCAUCUGUGACCAUGGUGAUCAUGAAAGAGGGACUCUGUAUCACACUCAUAGCUCCCUGCACACACACAGGUGGCUUCCAUGGGGCAAAGGGAGAGGGCAUGGGGCUUAAUCUGACUGGUGUUUGUGAGGGGAGAAAAGGAGAGAGAGGGUCACAGCAUGGCAGCCUUAUUCUGAAACAUGGGCAGAAGCUUCGUUGUCCCCACAAUUCUUGAGUUUUGCAUGGCAUUAAAACCAGAACCAUGUAAAUGAUUCCAAACGCUGUCUCUAGCUUGAGCAUUAGCCAGGCCUCAUUGGAUCAUGGGUGUAGCAUUUCUGAGUGCCUAGAUUGCUGAGCACUAUGAAAGGAAUCCCAGAAAACCAAUUCUCUAUGUGGCUUAUUUGGAGCAGGGUGCCCUAGGACUUGUCAAAGCAAAGUCUUUCACUUUUGCACCUUUUAGCCUGGAAAGGGUUGGGUCUUGCUGAUUCCUGGGAUGCCCUCAAGGCAUCUUUACUAUUGUUCUAAUGCAAAAUUCUUGGCUUCUUUUUUAAUGCUAAUCUUUUCAACAACCUUAUUCUCCUCUGCUCCAACUUUAUAGGUUUUUCCUUUGUGGCAAAAAUGAAAACAUUUUAAAUGGCCCUUCUGCUCUUGGUUUGCAGUAUAAACCUGGCUAAAAACUGUCAGCAGUGACAAUACCAUAGAUUGAAAUUUGAGCUGUCUUAAAAUCUCUGCCACCAGAUAAAUUACUUUGCCACCCUUAAUCUUAGUCUCCUGCAAAGUCUUAGAACAUGAACAAAAUAUAAACACACGGACAUGGCAAGAGGGUGGGGAUUUAGGUCUAACCAAUAACAUUGUGCCAGUGGCCUCCAAAAUGCUCAUUCCAAACUCAUUACACAAAAUGUAUUUAGUCCAUCUCUAAGUGUUGCCAAACUUUUACUUAUAGUUCUAGCAUUACUGAAAAGUCCACCCUAUAGUCUCCUCUGUAACUCAAAGUAAAUGUAUAAUCAUGAGCCCAGGUGAAAAUAAAAAACAGUUAAAUACUUCCAGUAUACAAUGGCAGAGUAAACAUUCCCAUUUCAGAAGAAAGCAAUAAGUGAAUAGAAGGGAAUUGGAUCAAAGCAAUACUGAAACUCAGAAGGGCAAAUUGUAAAUCCAGUAGCUUUCUGUCCAGCAUGCAGGGCAGAUUUUAGUGAGAUAUGAACUCCAAAGGGGAUUUAGGCAGCUCUGUUCCUACUAGCCUUACUAGCUGCAGCCCACGUGCCCUCUCUCGGAUUGGCUCCAUUCACUAGCUGUGGCUUCCUUCAGCAGAUGUUCCAACUUCCUAGCUUAUCCACAGAUCCCUCUACUCUCAGAGCUGCAAGCUUCACCAUUUCAGGGGGUCCUAGCAGGGACUGUGACCCUUUUACACAUUUUUGCCUGGUCUCCCAGGCCUUAUUUUGAUGUUUUACUCAAUCACAAGAGAUUAUAGAGAAUUGCCACCACUCAGAGCCAAAUUUGAGUCCUUUAUUGCCAGUGUGGCAAUUUGAGCGUGUCUCGAGCUUGAACACUCUACAUGAGGAAAAGUGGCUUGCAGGGUUCUUUUAAUCAGCUCUUUUAGUUGGGGAGGGCUCAGGGAGAUGGGGAGACCAAGUGAAAUUUUACAGAAGCAGAACUUUGCUAGGUUAGUGAAGAGUCAGGGGAAGUUUCACACAGUUUAGUUGAAACAAAAUAUCACACAGGUGCGGAGUAUUCUGUUUACAAGGUCAUAAAGAUAACAUAUAGCUGCAGACUGCUCUACCAAAUGGGGAGGUCAUAAAGAUAACAUAUAGCUGCAGAUUGCUCUAUCAAACAGGAUUCUCCAGUCUGUCAUGCAUUAACUGAGGGGAUUCCCAAAGGGGAAAGGGGGAGAGGACCACCCAGAAUCACUUGACUUUACAUAAAUGGAGUCAGGUUGGCUAUCACACUGAAACAUGGGUGGAAGCCUCUAUGAUAUUAUAACUUGCAUUGUGUAUGCUUGAAAAAUAAGAAGCACAUGGACGAUGCCAAAGUUUCACACCAGCUCAAGCAGCAGUCUGCCCCUUUGGACCACGCUGCAAUGGCCUCUGAGUGCUUGCAUGCUUGAGCUUGGGGAAACACUUCCCUAGUGGCCCUGAAUAAGCAGGGCAUCUCUUCUGGAAGAAAGUCUCUCAAAGGAGUUUACUCUUUUACACCCUUGAGCCUGGGAUGGAUGGGGUCUGACCAUUUCGUUACAUGUCUUCAAGUUAUCAUUGAUUGUACUGAUGCAAAGUGCAUGGCUUCUUUUUAAUGCUAAUCUUUUCAGCUACAAUAAUCUCUUUUGCCCUAACUUUGCAGUCUCUUCCUUUCUGGAAAAACUGCAAACUUCGUAUCUUUCAGAUUUAGUGUUUGCUCUUGAUUCUCACUGUAGAUUUUUAUAAAAGCAGCCAACAGUACCCAUGUUGUAGUUUGAAUGUUGGGCUGCUGUGAAAUUUCCUCUGGUAGAUUAAUUAGUCCUUUACAUUCAGUCUCACACAAAGACUUAGGGGAUGGUCAAAACAAAGAGAAAUUCUUCGAUGGAACGUAACAUGCAUGGCCUCUAGUUCAGUUUUCAACAGAGUCCUCACUCCCAACUGAAAUUUUGUGAGGCUGGCCUUUACUGUCAACAUUCUUAUCAUCAUUCUGGCUUUCUGAGCUGUGGCCAGAAUCACCCCUCAAGAUCUACUUACCACAAUCUAGUUAUUCUCUAGCCUGAUUUUCCUAAACUCUCCUGCAACAAGUUCUAAAGGCUACUAAAGCACAUGAUCAAGUAGUAAUAGCAACAGUCUCACUCCAAUAUUAUGUAUUAGCCACUUUCCUGUUGCUGGGACAAAAUGCUCAAAACCCAGAACCUAAAGGAAGAGAGAUUUAUUUAGCUUAUGGUUUCUAGUUGGUUCAGUCCAUGGAUGACUGACCCCAAGGCAGAAAUGGCAUAGUGGAAGGGCAUGACCAAGGAAAGCUGCUCAACUGAUGACCACUGGGAAACAGAGAUGGAAAGGAGGAGCUGGAGAUAAGAAUGAGUUCUUCAAGGUCUAUACCUAGUGAGCUGCCCCUUUAAUCAGGCCUUACCUCUGAACAUGAGACUUUUGGCGAUGUUUUAGAUCUAAAUUUAAACAGCCACCUGGGUCUUUGUCUCAGGCAUUCUGUUCAUUACUGCAGCACCAGGUCCCACCUUAGAUUGGCUAGAUUUACAUCUAGGUAAAUUUUUUAGAUGAUAUUGUGGUUUUAAUUUUACAGUUGAGUUUUAGAAUGUAGACAUGCAAUCGAUGUUUUGUACAUUUAUCUUCUAUCUGGCUACCUUGCUGAACCCACUUGUCAGUUCUGUUUUGUUGUAAGCCACUGGGAAAGGAAGGAUGAGAAGACCCAGGAGAUCAGACUUCUCAAACUUGGAAUCUGCUGCUGAGGCAGCUGGCUGGGAACAGGUACCAAGGAUGCUACACCCUGAGAAUUUCCUUUAAGUGUUGAAUAAGAUAUUUUGAGUGGGGCUGGGGAUUUAGCUCAGUGGUUCCGCUGCCUACCUCGCAAGCGCAAGGACCCGAGUUUGAUCCCUGGUACAAAAAAAAAAAAAGAUAUUUUGAGUGAUUGGUCUUCAUUUAACCCCUUAGUAAAUGAGAUUUUGGAGUAUUUGUGCUGACUCUUGCCAACCACUGGUGUUGUAGAAGAGUUUCUUUUUCCUUGCAUCUUUGUCAGCAUUUACUGUGUUUUAUACUCUUCAUGACAGCCAACUCUGACUAGGUUGAGAUGGAAUCUCAAAGUAGUUUGUUUUGUUUUCUGUUUGAUUUUUUGAGACAGAGUCUCUCUAUGUAGCUCAGGCUGGGCUUGAACUCACUAUGUAUUAUGGGCUGGCCUCAAACUCCCAGUGAUCCUCCUGCCUCAGGCUCCCAACUGUUGGGAUUACAGGCAUGUGCCGUCAUGCCUGGCUCUCAGUGUAGUUUUGAUUUGUGUCUUAGUCGCUUCCUUGAGGUUGAAACACAAUACCUGACACUCACAAGUUAAAGGAGGAAAGGUUUAUUUUGGCUUAUAGUUUGUAGAGGUUUCAGUCUAUAGUUGGCUGGUUGCAAGGCAGGACAGCACGACAGAGGGACAUGGCAGAGGAGAAAUGGUCUGUGGCAUAGCAGUGGGGAAGCAGGGAGAGAUGAAGGGAGGAGGAAAGGAGACUGCUCCUUCCAUCCUACACCCUUAGUGAUCCACCACUUCCCACCUCCCAACAUCAUACUCAGCUGUAAACUUAUCAUGGACUAAUCCAUUGAUGAGUACCAUGCCCCCAUAAUCCAAUCACCUCCCUAAAUCCCUACCUGAGUUCAUGAAGCUUUCAGGGACAGCUAGAUAGAAAUCAUAACAAUUUGCAUUUCCAUAAUGGCUAAAGAUGUUAAGCAUUUUUUUUCAUAUACUUAUUGGCCUCUUGUAGUUUUCUUUUGAGAAAUAUCUUCUCAAUUCAUUUGCUCAUUUAUUGAUAGGAGGGGCUAUUGAUUUGGGGGGGUUAAGUUUAUUGAGUUCUUUAUGUAUUCUAGAGAUCAGUCCUCUGGCAGAAGAGUAGCUGGCAAAGAUUUUCUCCCAUUCUGUAGGUUGUCUCUUCACUCUUUGUUUCCUUUGCUGGGCAAAAAAUUUUUAAAUUUGAUGUAGUCCCAUUUGUUGAUUCUUACUAUUAUUUUCUGAGCUAUUGGAGUCUUAUUUAGGAAGUCUUUGCCUAUACCUGCGGUUUCAAGUGUUUUCCCUAUAUUUUCUUUAACAAUUUCAGAGUUUCAGGUCUUUGAUCCAUUUGGAUCUGAUUUUUGUGCAGGGUGAAACAGAGAUCUAAUUUCAGUCUUCUACACAUGGAUAUCCAAUUUUUCUGGCACCAUUUGUUUAAGAGGCUGACUUCUCCACUGCAUGUUUUUGGGUCCUUUAUCAAGAAUCAGAUGGCUGUAGUUGUGUAGGUAUGAUUUUGUGUUUUCUAUUCCAUUCCGUUGACAUAUGUGGCUAUUUUUGUGCCAUGACCAUACUGUUUUUGUUACUAUGGCUUUGUAGCAUAAUUUGAAAUUGAGUGUUGUGAUGCCUGCAGGCUUAGUCUUUUGCUUGGGAUUUCUUUGAUUAUUCUUGGUCUUUUGUAUUUCUAUAUGAAUUUAGGAUUUUUUUUAGUUCUGUGAAGAAUGUCAUUAGAAUUUUGGUGGGUUUUGAUUGAACCUCUAGAUUGCUCUUGAUAGUAUGGCCACCUUAACAAUAAUAAUUCUGCUGAACCAUGGAAAAGAGAGGUCUUUCCAUCUUGUAGUGUCUUCUUUGAUGUCCUCUUUUUCUUUUCUUUUUUCUUCAGUGCUCAGUAAUUUUCAUUUUAGAGUUCUUUAACCACCCUGGUUAGGUUGAUUACUAGGUGUUUUAAUGUUUCUUGAAGCUAUUGAAUUGUUUUUCUUAUUUCUUUUUCAGCUAGUUCAUUAUUGUGUAUAGAAAAGCUGUUGACUAUUUAACAUUGAUUUUUGUGCCCCACCCUUUUCUCUUUGUUGGGGGUUGAUAGGUAAGUCCACGCCCUGACACUGUCUGACACCAGGGGAGAUGUUGUCCUUCUGGCCAAGACUAUUGCAGUAUCUUUCCAAUUGGUUUAUCGGACUCUGUGCCCCCUAUCUGUCCUUCGAAUGACCCUAUAAAAAUACAAGACACACCCUGACUCUGUCAAAACCUUUCAGGGUCUUUCCAUUGCACUCAGAAUAAAAGCUAAAGUCCUCAUGCUGCCCACAUUCCACCACAGUUGAUCCUGGCCAGUCUUUGACUGGUCUUCCCCAGCACCAUCAGCUCCAGGUACUCCACAUUUUCAUCUGGUCCUGGCCCAUGCCAGCACCCUCUCCCCACUCCAGGCCUGUCCUGUAUGUUCCUCCCUCCUGCCCUCCUCUGUGAACUGACUUAUUCAUGGAUCAUUUCUCCCACUGUCUUCUAUUCUAUGUUCUAAUGUUACCUUGGUGAGGCUGACUUGAACCAUUCCAUUUAAAAUACAAACACUUCCUCUCCAUAGUCACUGGCUAACCUUUUCCAUUUGCUUUUUCCCCAUUGUACAUAUGACCUUUAAAAUAAUGUGUAAUUAUAUGAAUCAGCAUCCAAUCCAGAGAUAGAACACAGUGGACUAAAUGGGUAAGUUUAUAUAACGAACAAUGAAAAAUACUAGUGUAAAGGGAAUAGUUGUGGUUUGCUGGGAAAAAAGUCAAGGAAGAAAUAAAUUGAGGUGUUUCCUUCUACAAGUCUGGGUUCAGACCCGGUGAGAGAAGCUAUGGUCUUACUCAGGAAUAUUGAGGAAUUUUGUGGGUUUCCCAGGGUCAAGCUGGUCAUGGCCAGAGCAGAGGUGGGUAGGUAGGGAAAGGCAGGCUGGACCAGGCAGCAGGAAACUUUUCUUUCUUCCCACAGACAGAUGUGCUGUGGCUAAGAAGCCUGCAAGAUACCCUGGGAAUCCCCUUUGGUGGUCCCACUGAAUGUCCAUAGAAGCUAUCCAUGGGGCCUCCUGAGUCCUGUAUUACAAGCGUCCCAGAUGUUCCCUACUUGUGCCAUUGCAUUUCAGAUGGCAGGAGGAAGAAAAGAAAGAACUGAAAGCAUCCUGGAACUGAGAAGGAAGGUUCAUCUUCCAAAACCUUUACUAAUAAGCUUAGAUUUUGCCAGAUAUAAAAGAGAAAUGCCUACUGAGUGCAGUAGUAUUAUCAGUGAGCAGGCAAAAAGGUGUGUCUGGGGCUGGAGACAAGAAAUUCAUCACAGACACCAUCAUUCACUCAUCUGUUUUGUUUAUUUUUGACCCUCACCCAAGGACAGCAGUGCAUUUGAUGCAUUCCUUAUACCUAGAAGAAUACUUGUUGUAUAGAAAAUGUGUAAAAACCACCAAGCACAUGAAUAAAUUUGUUUUAUCCCUUUAAAGCUGCACGUAUUAUGUCAUCUCACGGACAUAUAAAGUUUUGUUGAUCUAUUGUUAUUUUGAUGAAUUUUUGAGGUAUUUCCAAGAUUUGUAGGGAAAGCAAACUUAUCAUCAGACACAUCUACUUGUGCAUACAUGGGACCGUCCCUGUUGGUAGAAUGCUUCUGAGUAGAGUUCCUAAGUCAUAGACUACAUGGAUUUAAAACAAAAACAAAAACAAAACAAACAAACAAACAAAAAUAUAUAUUUAUGCUCAUUGUAACUUUUAAGUUAAUCUUUUUAUUUAAGAUAUUUGUAGAUUCACAUGCUGUAUAAGAAAUAAUACAGAAAUCACACGUCCUCUUUUCUCCAUUUGCCCAAAUGAUCUUUCAAAUCUGUAAACAAUAUCAGACUAGAAAAUUGGCAUUGAUGUUACCAAGAUACAAAUCAUUAACUUGGAUUCCUCUUGUACCCUUCGAAGCCACGCCUCAUUCCUUCCCACCACACCUACACUUCUGGAAAGUGCUGGUUUGCACUCCUUUAAUGUAAUGUGGUCCUUUAAGAAUGUUGUAAAAAAGGUUUAAUAUAGUACAUCAAAUUGUGGAUUUCACUUUUUUCCCUUAUAGUAUAAUUCUCUGGAGAUUACUCUGGAUCAUUAUGUUCAUUAAUAGUGUAUAUCUUUUCACUGCUGAGUAGUGUUGCUUUAUCUGGAUGGACCACUCUUUGUUAACUGUUCACCUGUUGAAGCACAUGGUGUGUGUAGUGACAUCUUUGAGGUUUUUAUUGCAUUCCACUAAUGACUAAUGAUGCUGAACAUAUUUUCCUGUUCUUGAUAUCUGUAUAUCCUCUUGGUGAUUAAUAUGCCCUUUAUGGCUUUUGUCCAUUUUCUAAUUGCCUUUUGUUGUUUGCUUUGUGUUCUUUGUGGUUUUGGGGAUCCGACCAGGACCUGGUGCAUUCCAGACCAGUGGUGAGCCACUGAGGUAUAGCCUCACCCCAGCCAUUUUCAAACUGUUUUUUAACUAUUGUGGUACAGAAGGACGUGUAAAGACUAGAAACUAGUGCUGUAUUAGAUAAGCAGCUGGCACAUCUUUUCUCUCAUUCUUGAGCUUGCUUAUCAUUCACAUAAGAGGAUCUCUUACAGAGAAAAAGGUUUCAACUUUGAUGACAAUGUUGUCAAUUUUUCCUUGCAUGGAUCAUGCUUUUAACAGUAAAUCUAAAAACUCUUGACAUAGCUCCAUAUUCCACAGAUUUUCUGUUAGCUUAUUUGUUUUUAUAGAUUUUAGAGUAUUAUGUUUUAUGGUAAAGCCUGUGAUCCCUAAGGUGUAUGUUAGUUAUCUUUCUGUAAUGUGAUAAGUAUUUGAGAUAAAUAAUUUGUAAGGAGGAAGCAUAUUUUGGCUCACAGUUUCAGAGGUUUCAGUCUAUGCUCACAUAAUCCUGUGGCAGCAGAGAUCAUGGCAGGAGCCUAUGGUGGAAGAGGUUGCUCGCCUCUUGGCUUCCAAGAAGCAAGGGGAGAGAGCAAGAGGGAGGAAGAGGCUGGGGUCUCCAUAUUCCCAUUCUGGGGUGUGCCCUCAGUGACUUUACUUACCUUUCGCUUACCUGCUAAAGGUUCAGCCCAUCUUUCAAUAGUGCCAGAAGCUGGGGACCAAACCUUCAACAUACUCCCCUUUGGGGCACACUUAAGAUUUGAACCAUGACUAGGCUUGAGGCUUAGGUUAUAGGUCCUUGUAGUUCUUCUGUCUCUAUGGAUAUAUAUAAUCUCUCAACAUCGUUUGUUGGAAAGGCUGUUUUUCCUUCACUGAAUUGUUUUUGCAUCUUUGUAAAAAGCCACCUGGGCCACUUUGUGUAGGUCUGUUUCAGGGCUCGCAAAUCUGUCUGUCCUCUUGUUCUAUGAAUCUGUCCAUCUGUCAUUAUCACAAAUAUCAAUUACUGCAGAAAUAUAAGGAUUGAAAUUGGGUAGCCUCAUUGACCCACUUAAUUUAUUCAAAAAUUUUUUAGAAAUUCUAGCUCCUUUGAUUUUUUCGUAUGAAUUUUAAAAUUAUCUUGCCUACAUCUACAAAAAUUCCUUUGGGGAAUUUGAUAGAAAUCGUUUUAAAUUUUUCAUUGUUUGGGAGAAACAUCUUUAUUAUAUCAAAUCUUUGAAUCCAUAAAUACAGUAUGUAUCCACAUUUAUUUACUCUUUUAUUUUAUCAACAUUGUGUAAUUUUCAGCAUACAUUUCUUUUUUUUUUCUAGUACCUGGGGUCGAAUUCAGGACCUUGCGCUUGCCAGGCAGGCGCAGUGCCACUGAGCUACAACCCCCAGCAUACAUUUCUGCACAUGAUCUCUUAGAUUUGCAUCUAGAUAUCUAAUUUUUAAUGAUUCUAACUGAUGUUUUUCAUUUUAGUGAAAUACUUGAACAUGUGUUCCACUUAUGCCAAACUUGCAGCGGUAGCUGUAUUUUUCAUCAUGUUAAUAGUUUUUUCUCUCAUUUAUUCUUUGAAUAAAAAGACUUAAAUUAUUAAAUCAGUUUGGGACAUUAUUAAAUGUAUUUUGCAGCAUUGGUUUAUAUUAAUAUAAGAGCAAGUAUAGCAUUGUGUAGCGGGAAGCCUAUGGCUUAAGAAGGAAGUCCAAGCUCAGAGCUACAGUGUGUCACCCCAUUCACUUUGAGCACUGCAGUUUUCCCUACUCUUUAUUUUCCUGCUGCGACAGUUUGCUAACAUUUUAGAAAUUCCUCUGUGCCCAACAGUUUCACAUCCCAUAAACAUCCUGUAAAAUAUUCUCAAAUUUUAAAAUGGAAAAUGUUCCACUGUGUAGUUAUUUAAAUUUAGAACUUGCAGAUCACCUACUCAGAAGUCUAGAAAUUCUAGAAGCUAGAAAUUCUAGCUCCUUUGAUUUUUCAUAUGAAUUUUAAAAUAAUCUUUAAAGUCUCCGGGGUUCUUCAUUCCUGUCUCAGUUGAUAUAAAUUCUCCAAGAAUGCCCUAGAGAUAGAGAACUUAUUUACAGUGGUUUGUACUAACUGAUGAAAGCACCUGUGAUUGUUUUUCCUUUUUUGCUCAAGGAUAUUGGGGAUUUCCUUUUACAUUCCAAGGUGGAGUUUUUCCCAGUGGAGAGAAGAGGUCUCUUGAAUGUUAUCGCAAGAAUCUAAGCAUAUACAUAACCUGUAACUCCUGCACAUAUCACAACUAUUUCUUUGAAUUGUAUAAGGAAGAUGAGCCAACUUCUUAUUUUGGAAUAUCUUUGGAAAGACAACUAGUGGGCAAGUUUAUGACCCAAAGGAAUCAUCAGUUAUGGUCUUGAUUCCUGGUAGGAAAAAACAGUGUUAUUUCCUUAUUACGAGGCAAAUAGAAAUGCUUAUUUUAUUUCUUAUAGUUUACAAAGCUAGAAUAAUUUUUUUCUUUUGAUUAUGGACCUAAAAUUUGCUCAUUGGAGUUUUGUGCAUGAAAUCAGAGUUACUUUUUAUAGAGAAUAAGUGCUGUAAAGGUUUAUUAAACCUUUACAGAGAAUAAGUCCCUAAAAUGUUUAAUUCCUUAAGUAAUGAUAUUGGCAGUAAGUCUUUGAAAGGCUGAGAACCCAAGUAGUGGUACCAUUGCACUUGGUGCUUCUGUAGGAGUGAGGGUGGUAGCUCAUUGUUGAGAGUUGCAUGCUGCAGCCUAAUGGUCAGCAAUGAAAUAAAUAUUUCUAGAAUGUUAAAAACUCAGAAGAGGCAGGUCACUAUCAGCCCCUCCCUUGAGGAUGUGCUUCCUGGCUGCCAUGAUGUAAGCAGUUUCUCCUCCUCCAGGCUCCUCUGCCAUGCUGUUUUUUUUUCGGAGCUGGCUGACCGUGGACUGAAACCUCUACAAAACAUGAACCAGAAUAAAUCUCUUCUCCUUUAAGUUGUGGGAGUUGGGUAAUGCGUCUCAGUGACAAGAAAAGUGAUGAAGACAUGAGCCCUCCCAGAAAUAGAGUGGAAACAUAGUCCAUUGUUUCAUUGGGAAGGCUGAGCACAGACUGUACAUCUAACUAGUUACUACUCCCAUUAACUGAACGUAGUAAUUUACUGCACAUGUGGGUUUCAGCAGUGUAUACCAGAGGGAACACAAGAAAAAUUUUUGAGAUGGAAGGCUAUGAAUCUGUCAGUGUGCCAGGAACUGUCUAUGACAGUUGUAGGUGGGCUGAGAUGGUCAGUCAGUAGCUCUUUCUAUCUCAGUCCACUCUUACUGACCUACCCAUGCUGUAACUUGAGUUUGUUCUAUAACUGAGGCUUCAGUGUGGUGAGGGCGACAACCAAAAAACAAUUUAAAUAGAUGAUUAGUGGAAUGGGCUGCAGCUCCCACUGUGAAGAUGACCUCUAAGCUUUAUUCAUAUUCAUCUUAAGCCUCCUCUUAAUACUUGAUGCACCUCAAUCCCAAGUAGCAAGUGCUUUGGCUUGGUGCUUGUUAUGGUUUAGAUCAAGAAUGCUCCCCCGCAAAUCCUCAUGCUCUCAUAGGCAGGGCUUUUGGAAGCUGAUUGAAUUAUGGGUGACAUAGCUGACUUGAUGUUAGAAGACAGGGUCUGGAAGAGGUGGGUCACUGGAGUGGUGACCAGGAAGGGCAUACUUCCUUCCCUGGCUACUUCCGACCUCGUUCUUCUUUCUCUGUCCCCUCCCCAGUGUCUCUUGCUUUUCUGAUCUGUACCAUGGUGAUUCAAGGUGUGUGUGUGUGUGUGUGUGUGUGUGUGUGUGUGUGUGUGUGAUUGCCCUUCCCAGUGGACCUAGUAAGGCAGAGAGGAAACGGCCCAUAAGGGAGAGGUGGGCAGGGGUCUCCAGGAUCACAGAGCCUUCAUUUCUAAGCUGACCUAUGGAAGGGCUGAGCCUGGCACUGGACACUGCAAUCCUCCCUUCUACUCCGAACUCUGCCAAUGCUGUAGGUGCUGGUCAGUUCCGCCCUCUGUCUUGCUCCAGUUUCCUGAUUGUCUCAGAGAGGACUGACCAUGAGACUCAGAGCCCUCACUUCCAAUCCCUCCCUCAUGCCUGAUGCUGGGACAGCACGAACCUCCCUCUCAUGAGUAGAUGUGGAGGACAUUCUCAGUGUGGCUGGGCUUCAUGUCCACUGUCUGAUGCACAAAUGCAGCCUGCCAGGACCCGAGACAGUAUAUAUGUGACCCCUGGCCUCUAGCACGUCUCACGCCAUGGGGUCAGCAUGGCCAGCCUCAUGUCCUCUGUCCCUGCACCAGCACUCAAGCCACUCAGCCCUGAGUACCCAUGCUCAGCCAUGCCUGGGGGACUUGGAAUCAUUGCUCUUCACUCACCCAGUGACAGCCAGGAGCCUAGUCCUGUGUUGGGAUCUCACCCAGGGGCCUCCUGAGUCCGGGCCUCCUGAGUCCAGCCCUCCUGGGCACCUUCAUCUCCCUGCUUUAUUCCUCAGCACACUCUCUCAAGGUGCAGUGGCGGAUCCAUUCCCAAUCAUGAAAGCAGAGCUGAGAGGUCAUCCCUGAGCCCAACUCUCACAGAGCCAUGUCAUGGCCCAGAGGUGGGCUUGAACCCAGAAGAGGUACUGAGGAUCAAAUCUAGGGCAAGCGUCUGCCAUGGAGCUACACCCUCAAUCGUGAAGAAAAUAUUAUGGAAGGGACUUGGUACCUGAAGGCCAUGGUAACCAGUAAGAAGAUGCCAGAGACCAUGAAGCCCAAGAAGUCGUACCCCGUGACUAUGACAGCACUGGAUAAUGGGAACUAUGAAGUUCAGCUUUCCUUCUUCUAUAAGGAUAAAUGCGAAGAGAAGACAAUUGAGAUGCAGAGAACCAAGGAUCCUAAAAAAUUCAAAACCACACAAAACAUAAUCGUAUCUGUACAGGAGAUGUCCGUGAAAGACCACUUCAUCUUCUACAUUGAGCACCAGGUGUUUGGCAUGCCCAUACGCAUUGCAAAGCUCCUGGGUGAGGAGCCCUUCCUGUAUCCUGCCCCAGCUUCCUGUCUCAGCUUUUAAAAGCCUUGUCCUGGCACUGGGGAACUAAGAAGGCUCCUAGGCUGGCUUCUGGGCACUUGGCCCAGCAUGCUGUUCUGGUAGAGAGUGAGUUCCGGACUGGGAAGGGGGUCGGCAAGGCAGGGAGUGUCAGGGACAUGCAGGCCCUCAAACACUGACCAUGCUGACAGGGGGACCUGCUCACUGCAGCUGCCGAGCACUGCUUCCUGGGGUCUCUGGCACGGACAGGGUCACCUUGGCACCUUGUCCAUUCUCAGAGUGAAGCCCCUGGUGUGGGGUGGUAGCCAUGUCCUCAGGGCCAUCAGCUCCCUGCAGAGCUGAGCAGCCGCCCCCCCUCUACUCCCUGGC